rnacentral:rRNA from 1 species
CCUACGGGAGGCAGCAGUGAGGAAUAUUGGUCAAUGGACGAGAGUCUGAACCAGCCAAGUAGCGUGAAGGAUGACUGCCCUAUGGGUUGUAAACUUCUUUUAUAUGGGAAUAAAACGUUCCACGUGUGGGAUUUUGUAUGUACCAUAUGAAUAAGGAUCGGCUAACUCCGGGCCAGCAGCCGCGGUAAUACGGAGGAUGCGAGCGUUAUCCGGAUUUAUUGGGUUUAAAGGGUGCGUAGGCGGUCUUGUAAGUCAGCGGUAAAAAUUCGGGGCUCAACCGUAAAAUUGCAGUUGAAACUGGCAGUCUUGAGUACAGUAGAGGUGGGCGGAAUGCGUGGUGUAGCGGUGAAAUGCUUAGAUAUCACGAAGAACUCCGAUUGCGAAGGCAGUUCACUGGACUGCAACUGACACUGAGGCUCGAAAGUGUGGGUAUCAAACAGGAUUAGAUACCCUUGUAGUC